rnacentral:lncRNA from 1 species
CCCAGUUAGUCUGUUUAGCUAAGUAAACUGAUGUAUGACAAUAUAAGUACAAUAACAUAACGCCAUGAACGAAAGUGAAGCGCUCAAAGCGAAAUCUUGUUGUUAAGGUUCUUUUCUCGAAACGUAGCCUACCUCAAACUGUAACCACCCUUCUUGCUGUCAAAAUGUCGCUGUAAAGUUCUGACGAGAAGUUGCCACUGUCUGCUUAGUUUGAAAACGCUUGUCUUCAUGCUGUAGUUUCUUUCCAUCCAGCGGUCGUUCCGGAUUUCGAGUCUAGGCGCGCGACUCUCCACGCCUACCUGCGGCGGGCCACGCCAACCGCGCCUCUGCUAGACAAAAUAAUAAUAAUAGUUGGUAAUUAGCUCAAUUGCAAAAUGUCUCUUUCUCGGUCUCUGAAUCAGUAAACACCGUUUCUCUCCACUCUUCUGCAUGUUGCAGCUUGAUACGCCUCCAGCGACGGAUUCUGCAGGAUUCAUGUCAAGUCAACCCAAGCACAGCGCACAAUAACACAACUGCUGGGAUAUUCAAAUACAUUUACAUUUCUAUUUCAUGGGCCUGGAGUGGUGGUUUACAAGUGAGAGAAGGAGAGACGGAGAGAAGAGCUACUGUGUAUCACCUGCUAAUCAGAUCCUCAGUUUAUGCUCCAAGGCCCUCGAUGAAAACACUUGAAAAUAUGGUAGAUUUAGCCAACCAGCUGAUACUCUCACAUAAGAACAAUCUGUUAGACCUCUUACAAGAAACUGCUGAGGAACUGAGAGUUUUACAACCAGUAAAAGCAGGAGAAGAAACAGGACCUGAGCAAUCCUCUAAUGGCCGUAGACAUUCAGCUGGACUUCACACAAGACUUUUCUUCAGAAGACUUUUCUAGGUCCUCAGGACAUUUUGUGAGCUACACACCCAGAGAGUGUGUGUGCUGAGAGAGGUUCUUUGCAGUACAGGAAACACACUCACUGAGCGUAGGAUGUACUCUAAUUUGGUGCACACACACCCAGACACUGAGUCUCGAGAGACAACAGCUGAUGUGGGUAAGUGCUUCACGAGAAGCUUGAGAUGUUUGUGAAGGAAGGAGUGUUUCCAAACUGUGUGUGUGUGUGUGUGUGUGUGUGUGUGUGUGUGUGUGUGUGUGUGUGUGUGUGUCUAGUGUGUGUGUGUGUGUGUGUGUGUGUGUGUGUGUGUGUGUGUGUGUGUGUGUGUCUUGCUUUGUCUCAAAGCUCUGUUGGCAUGACUGUGACGGUGUAGCCAUGCAUAGCAUUCUUAUGUACUAAGUGCAUAAAACAGUUUAAAUAAAUAUAUUUAAAAUAUAUAUAUAUUUAUAUAUAUAUAUACAAAGCCGAUUCCAAAAAAAGUUGGGACACUGUACAAAUUGUGAAUAAAAACAGAAUGCAAUGAUGUGGAAGUUUCAAAUUUCAAUAUUUUAUUCAGAAUACAACAUAGAUGACAUAUCAAAUGUUUAAACUGAGAAAAUGUAUCAUUUUAAGGGAAAAAUAAGUUGAUUUUAAAUUUCAUGGCAUCAACACAUCUCAAAAAAGUUGGGACAAGGCCACGUUUACCAUUGUGUGGCAUCCCCUCUUCUUUUUAUAACAGUCAUCAAAC